rnacentral:snRNA from 1 species
CUCUCUUCGGAGACAUCCGAUAAAAUUGGAACGAUACAGAGAAGAUUAGUAUGGCCCCUGCGCAAGGAUGACACGCACAAAUCGAGAAAUGGUCCAAGUUUUU